rnacentral:lncRNA from 1 species
UGCUUCUGGCUCAGAGGAGCAUCAUAGACAGAGGCCCUGAGGUAGACAGGUGGUUUUCUAAGUCUUUCAUCUGGGCUCAGAGUGGCUCAUGAGAGCUACCCAGGAACCAAUUGUUGGACGUCUUUAUCCUGAAGACCUUCCAUUUCUGCAUUACAUCAUAGAAGCCUUAUGGAUACAUUGUCUUGAUUUUGUUGCUAGAGGCUAUAGGAAUGUACUUGAGCAAUUCUGUGUCUUUGAGCUUAAGUAGUUAGGCAGUGAGUGUCUGGGUCCUGGGGAACAUUGCCCAAGGCGUUAGCAUCCUUCAUAUUCCUCUCUAUAAUUCCCCGGACCUGCCUCCGGUAAGGGCAUCUGCACCUAAGGCCAUGUUUGAUUCACAGAGAACACUUAGCACAGAUGCUAACAGACUUGAUUAGAUUUGAUCAGGGUCAGUGUAAAUACGUACAGGAGGAGAAACAGGAAGUGAGAAAUCAAAGGAUGACGACUAUAAGGAGAACAGUGAUAUAAUUUCAACCUGUAAAUUAUCCAUAAAUAGACUACACAGUUUAUUCAAAGCUAAAUCUUUUAUAAUCUAAUUAUAUGUAAAUACUCCUGUAGUCUGUCUUCCUUACCGUCUUCAAUACCUGGAUGGAGUGUUUUGGAGAAGCUGAAUGGGAUCCCUUGGGACUCUGACUCUUGUUUGUUUAGACCACACAGAAAAAGCUUUAUGACAUCCUUGCCCUGGCUCCAGAGUGAGCAUCUGCAAGUAAAGAGCUGUCAGGCCAGGGAAGAAUAUUCUCCUCCCACACCUUAAGUCUCAGUCUCAAGCCCUCCUCUUUUGGGGACGAAUAGAACUGGCCCUGUUCCGUGGCAUACAUGUGGAGGUCAGAGGACACUCACAGGUGUCAGUCCUCACAUUCUCUAGUAUGCGAGACCGAGUCUCUUCUUGUUUGCAGCUGUUUAUGCCAGGCUAGCUGGCCUGAGAGCUUCCUGGGAGUCUCCUGUCUCUACUCAGGAGUAGGAGUAUUGGGAUUAUAGACGUUCACUAUUGUAUCUGGCUGUGCGUGGGCUCUGGGGAUACAAAGCCAGGUCUUUAUUUCUGCACAGCAGGUACUUUGCCUGCUUGGCCCUUACCCCAGUUGGAACUGUGAGUCUUUAGUUUGAAGGGCAACAGCAAUAGUUUAAUAGAAAGUGGCGCCCUCCCAGAGACAUACCCUCUUUUGCAUCCCCAGUUUUCAAGCUAGAGGAUUAAACCCUACUUACUCCAUUAUUGGAAACGGCCAAUAGUAUGAAUGCUUGAUAUUAAAGCAAAGUUGUAACUGUCCUCUUUGGUUCAAGUCUUGCCUUUCAAAUCCUCUGAGUAAAUCUAAUGUUUUUUUUUUUUCUUUUUCCAGGUUUUCCAUCUUUAUGUUUGAAGAUGUCCACUCGGCAUCUGGUUUAGCAGUGCGUGUAGGUUCCUCUCUGCUAUGGAUCCCUGCUCUGUCAGCUCAGACAGAACAGAUAUGGGACCCCAAGAAAAGGCACAAAAGGCCCCUGCAUAGUGGGUAGCUUUGAUACGAUUUCUAUACACUUCAGGACCUUAUCGCCAGCCAUUUUGGUUCAUGGCAGCAGACCUCAGCGUGUGGGGUCCAGCUUGUGGUUGGAACCAUGUUUCUCCUCACAUACUUGGAUUUCUUCUGUAGUCCCUGACCGACAUCAGUACCUUGAAUUGAGACCCUGUUUUUCCUCACAAAGCCUCCCUCAGAGUGGAGCCAAACACUGUCCCAUGGAUGGCCGCCUUAUAUUUGAUUCCAAGUCCUUGUGCCUGCACUCUCCUUGGACUCCUGCCUGCUGUCAGACUUCAAACGGCUCUUGCCUUGGAUAGUCACUGCCUGCGUGACCUCAGAUUCCCUGUUUUGCAGGGAAUGCAGACUGAAUGGAUCUGAGUGUAUUGUUGGAUGUAAAGACUAGACUCGUCUUGGAAGUUACCUCAAGAAAACAUUAUGUAGAAUCUGUAUAUACCCUAGGAUCCAGACUGCAGAUGAGGUGUUGUAGAAAUAUUUAUUCCCAGUCAGGGGGUUCUACCCUGCCUUUAAUCAUUCAGUUCCCAGAUAAAGGACACACAACUUUUAUUAUUUACAAUAAGCCUUAAUGCUAUUAAAAUCUAUUUCCUAUUAAUAACAUGAAGUUAUUACUUACUAUGUUUUAUUUAGGCUGGUCUUUCUUAACUCCAAUUGUCUAGCCCUCAGGGUCAUGCUUCCCGGACUCCUAACUGAUGGUAUCUUCCCCCAUCUUCUUUGCCUUCUUCUCCCUCUCCUUGUAGUCCCCCUGCCCGAGGCUUGGAACACCAAGCAUCAUCAAUCUCAAUACUGCCCAGCUAUAGGAUGUAGACAUCUUCAUUUACCAAUUAGAGAUAACUUGAGGGCAAGGUCACACAGUAUCACUUGGGUCUAUGUGCAGACUCUCUCUUCUCUGGAGCAACCAGGUCUUGGAGGCCAGCAUUUAGCAUUAUAAUAUAUACCAACAGACCAAGCUUCAACAUGAGGAGUAGAAGAUAAUUGGUAGAAUGGGAACAUAAUGCAUCCCUCUUGGGAGGCAGUUUGUACAUGUAGGAUGCUGAGAUUGACUGUCUCCAUACAUCAUGUACCCUAAGAGCCUGGCUUGCUUCACUCUCAUCCCAGCCACACCAGUACCAAUGCCACACCAUUGUGGAUCCUAAUCUAUUUAGUUCAGGAAGAGGCUCAAAUAUUGGCAUCUUUAACACUAUACCAAAGAUGUAUAUGUAUGACUAAGAUUUGGGAAUUACCAGACAAUUUCCUGCUUGUCUGCUACUGAAGUGAGAGCUUCAGAACCUUGAGUCCCUGAGCCUGACAAUGGGACUUUUCUAGUCUUUUAUGAUGGUCUGUCCCAACAGCCUCCAUUGGUGAGUUUUUCUCCCUGCCAGGGUUCAAUCUAACCCAUGUCUCUGCUGUCCAGGAUUCCAUUCUAACUUCCGUUAGAAAACCAAGGAUCCAAAUGGACUAUCUCUCUUUACUCUAUUUUUGGAAAACAUGCCAGUUACUUGUAUACAUUCUUCAUGACAUGAUUUGAAGAGCUGAUGACACUGUGGUAUUUCGGGGAGAUAUUUGCAUUCAUUCCUCUGAGCAGGCCUGUGCUGUGGAUCUUUCUGGGUUUUGCCCUGUUCUACUUGCUGAGGAGGACAGAGGUGGAAUUUGGGGGAUAUUCUUCAUGGCUAGGGUAGCUUGUAGGGGGAGCAGUAGAUCCCCAGCACACUCUUCAAACAGAUGUUAUGCAAAAGCAAAAUAAACUGGAAAAAUAAAAUCAUUUCCUACGCAAAUAAUUUGGGGGGAAGGCUUGUGUUAAAAACAAACAAGUUUCUUUCUCGAAGGCCAGACCAAGGUCUCUAAUAUGUUAGUAUGAACUGUGCAUCUCCAUAAAAGGAAGUAAAUAUGAUCCAGUGCCCAAAGUUGCAUGAAAUAUUCUGGGUGAUGUUUUAUAGAAUCCUGUUAUAGGGCUGGAGAUGCCUCAGUGAUUAAGAGCACCAGCUACUUGUCUAGAGGUCCUGAGUUCAAUUCCCAGCAACCACAUGGUGGCUCACAACCAUCUGUAAAGGGCACCUGAUGCCAUCUUCUGCUGUGACUGAAGACAGUGACAGUGUACCCAUAUAUAUGAAAUAAAUAUUUCUGGAGCAGGGCCAGAGCGAGCAGGGCUGGAUGCGGGGAAAGGGAAGAAGAAUCCUGUUAUAGGCCCUAGGAUGCUAAAUCUCACAUCAACCUUAAUUCUGGGUUCUGAGAACUCUGUGCAUGCUGUUCCCGAGUCAUGUGGUCCAUUUAAGGGAGUCUUCGACUCACUGGAGUUUUAGUCAGGCUAAAUGCUUAGGUCUUGUUUUCAUUUAACUAUCGAUACUCAGAUAUUCCCUAUUUGACGACCAGGCUGUUGACAUUUGGGAGACUUGAAUAUAGGUCCUGUGAAGUUUAACAGAAUUGAUUUUGGAUUACAGCUAAAGAGUGCUGAGAUAGUUUCUUUUAGCUGAAUCUUGCAUGCCAACCUCUUAGCCAGGGUUCUCAGCUCUGUGUUAUACUUACUCAGGCUACAACUUAAGUCAGUAGAUCUUCUUUGUCCUGAUUCAGGCCUCUGAAGAACACGCUGAAUGAGACGGACCCCUUGUGUCACAGCACUAGAGACUUCCCUUGACAUUGGCAUUGAUCUUUUAAUCAGUACUGUUUGGUUUAGUCCUUCAACAAAGCUACAUCGCUGAGCCAUUUCUGGGCUCACAACCCUUCAUCUGGGUCAAAGGAGAUCAUGAGAGGGUUUUUGGGAAACACCUCCUGGAAACUCUCAUUCCCUUGGCCCACCUCUCUACUCAUUUUUCCGAAGAAAAGAAACCGAAGAAGUGAGUGUUUUGUUUCUGUGAUUAUAAAAGAAACCCGGGCUAAUUAUAGGAAAGGUGGAAAAUAUAGGAAAAAAUGUCUAGAGAAAAAAAUGGAAAGCACCCUGAAUGUGACCACUUACGAGACUUCGGUUCAUUUUUCCUCAACAUUUUUAUUGUGCACAUGUAUUCAUUUUCUUAAAAAUAUCCAUUACUUUCUGUCGAACAUUACAAUAAGCACAGCACUAAACAAAAGACUUGCCUCUUGGAAAUUCCUGCCCAGAUGGAGCUUACCCCUCUGUAGAGGAAAACAAACAAAUAAAUAACAUUUCUGAUGAAAGGUACCUUUAAAGCAUCUUGCUUUUGAGCUGGGAAGAUGGUUCGGUUGGUAAAGUACCUGCUGAUCUAGCAGGAGAGCUCGACUUCAAAUUUCCCCGUGUCAGAGUAAAAAGGCAGCCAUGGAGGCUUGCAUCUAGAAGGCCAGCUCUGGGGACAGGGUGAGGACAGUCAGUCUGGCCAAAUUAAUGACUUCUAAGUCCAAUAAGAGACAUUGCC